rnacentral:rRNA from 1 species
UACAGAGGUCUCGAGCGUUAGGCGGAAUCACUGGGCUUAAAGCGUGUGUAGGCGGAUCGUUAAGUACCUUGUGAAAUCCCACGGCUUAACCGUGGAACUGCUUGGUAUACUGGCGGUCUUGAGCCACUUAGGGGCUACCGGAACAAAUGGUGGAGCGGUGAAAUGCGUAGAUAUCAUUUGGAACGCCAAUGGUGAAAACAGGUAGCUGGGAGUGUGCUGACGCUGAGACACGAAAGCCAGGGGAGCAAACGGG